rnacentral:rRNA from 1 species
UGGGGAAUAUUGGACAAUGGGCGAAAGCCUGAUCCAGCCAUGCCGCGUGAGUGACGAAGGCCUUAGGGUUGUAAAACUCUUUCGUCGGGGACGAUAAUGACGGUACCCGAAGAAGAAGCUCCGGCUAACUUCGUGCCAGCAGCCGCGGUAAUACGAAGGGAGCUAGCGUUGUUCGGAAUCACUGGGCGUAAAGCGCACGUAGGCGGAUAGUUAAGUCAGGGGUGAAAUCCUGGGGCUCAACCCCAGAACUGCCUUUGAUACUGGCUGUCUCGAGGUCGAGAGAGGUUGGUGGAAUUCCUAGUGUAGAGGUGAAAUUCGUAGAUAUUAGGAAGAACACCAGUGGCGAAGGCGACCACCUGGACUGAUACUGACACUGAGGUGCGAAAGCGUGGGGAGCAAACAGGAUUAGAUACCCGCGUAGUCCCUGAGCGGGCUGGCAAGGCGCAU